UACGGAGGGUGCAAGCGUUGUCCGGAAUCACUGGGCGUAAAGGGCGCGUAGGCGGCUCAUGAAGGCUGUGGUGAAAGUCCGGGGCUCAACCUCGGAUCGGCCGUGGCGACUCGUGGGCUGGAGCACUGUAGAGGCGGGUGGAAUUCCGGGUGUAGCGGUGGAAUGCGUAGAGAUCCGGAAGAACACCAGUGGCGCAGGCGGCCCGCUGGGCAGUGGCUGACGCUGAGGCGCGACAGCGUGGGGAGCAAACAGG
rnacentral:rRNA from 1 species